CCUACGGGUGGCAGCAGUGAGGAAUAUUGGUCAAUGGGCGGAAGCCUGAACCAGCCAAGUAGCGUGCAGGAUGACGGCCCUACGGGUUGUAAACUGCUUUUAUACGGGAAUAACGCGCCUUACGUGUAGGGCUUUGCAUGUACCGUAUGAAUAAGGACCGGCUAAUUCCGUGCCAGCAGCCGCGGUAAUACGGAAGGUGCGGGCGUUAUCCGGAUUUAUGGGGGGUAAAGGGAGCGUAGGCCGCUUGGCAAGCGUGCUGUGAAAUGUCCGGGCUCAACCCGGGCCUUGCAGCGCGGACUGGCGUGCGUGAGUCCGCGGAAGGCAGGCGGAAUUCGACGUGUAGAGGUGAAAUGCUUAGAUAUGACGAAGAACCCCGAUGGCGAAGGCAGCUUGCUGCAGCGGAACUGACGCUGAUGCUCGAAAGCGCGGGUAGCGAACAGGAUUAGAUACCCCUGUAGUC
rnacentral:rRNA from 1 species